GAGCCGCCGCCGGGCCCGCGCUGCCGCCGCGGCAGGCCCGGUAUGGACAGCCAGAAGGAUGAGAAGGGCAGGGUGCUCGGUGCAGCCUCCACAGAGGACCUGAAAGUCCGAGGAAAAGAAAAACGGAAAAGAAAACGUAGCAGAAGCAGAUCAUCAUCCGUUUCAUCCACAUCAUCUUCUAGCACUACAUCCACUUCUUCUUCAUCGCAUUCGUCGUCAAGGUCAUCAUCUUCGAGUAGCAGAGAUUCUCCUAAAACUAAAUCAAAGAGAAGGAAAAAAGAAAAACACAACAAAAAGAAUGUGCCUUAUACUUGCAGAAGAGAAAAAAAGAGAACAAAAUGAAGAAAAAGAAAGAAAAGAAAAAAAAGAAAGAGAAAACAGGACCUGUCCAGCUUUCUAAGUUCUUCAAAAACAAAAAGAAGAAUGAAAACUACAGCAUGAUAACUGGAAAGAAAAUUAAGAUGAAAAUAAAGAAGACUAAGAAGGAUAAAGAGAGAGACCGGAACCGUGCAGAGCUGCUUGAAUUUCUGAACUCUGCCUUAUAAUGGGAAGAGUGUGACCAAGGACUUGUAAAUACACCAAGCUGGUGAUGAUCAUGCCUAGCAAAAAAGCUAAAGAAAACUCAGGGAAAAGGAUGUCGAGUUUGACAAGACCAGACUCUCCUGCUGAGACAAUCAGGAUGUCCUUUUUUAAUGGCAAAAUGAAGAUCAACCGACAACUUGUUAAUGAAGAUCCAUGUCCUUCUUUUGAGAUGCUAAGGUAACAGCCAGGCUGUGGUGUUUUAGAAGAGCCUAAGAGUGCGUCAUUGGCAAUGACAUGAAUUGACACACUGAGGUCCAGUUCUAUCCUAACUGCAUGCAGAACACGCUUUUAAUUUCAAAUGUCUUAAAGUUUCCAGUAGCUUAAACAAAGCAGAUUAUUUGUAACUGUCUGUUGAAAGAUGAGGCAUUUCUAUGUGUAUAUUUUUUCCAGUAGUGGUUUUACUUGUCCUGAAGAGCAAGUUGACCUUUGUAAAUAGAACAUCCUUUUAC
rnacentral:lncRNA from 7 species